rnacentral:rRNA from 1 species
CGAUGAGUGGCGGACGGGUGGAGUAACGACGUGGGCGAACCUGCCUCGUACAGGGGGACAACACUUAGAAAUAGGUGCUAAUACCGCAUAACGGGGGGAGCCGCAUGGCACCCCCUGAAAACUCCGGUGGUACAGGAUGGGCCCGCGUCUGAUUAGCUGGUUGGCAGGGUAACGGCCUACCAAGGCGACGAUCAGUAGCCGGCCUGAGAGGGCGGACGGCCACACUGGGACUGAGACACGGCCCAGACUCCUACGGAAGGCAGCAG